CUAUGACAAACUUCGCAGGAUUUUAAAGCCGUACCACGGGCUGGGGUGUAGGGGGGCGGGAUACACUCCCUGCUCGAGCCCCCUUCUCUCGGCUCCCCAUCCCCCCAGGCAUCUGCCCAAAGAGAGAGGUCCACUCCGCAGCCGCUGCUUUCACGCCGCCCGGCUCUGCGCUCCUUCCAAAGCCGCGGACCCGCGGGAGGCUGAACCCCAACUUUCCAGGCUGGAUCCCUUGGCUCGCCUGUCCCAGGCCGCUUCCACUGCAGCUGCACCAGGACUGCUGCUCUGGCACGGAACAUCUUGGAGGACCUCCUCCCCGUUCUUACCCCUGGGGGAGGGUCCCUAAGCCCUUGGGCUGGAGAAUAGAGUAGGCGCACACAUCCUGCAAAACCCCCAGUGUAGAUUUGGGUACUGGGGUGCGUGAUUCAGCAUCUGACUGAGACCCAGCGUAUCCAGAUGCGACGCGAGAUCUGGCCGGGUGGAUCUUGUCGGGUGCCCUCAGAUAAGAAGCAAUGAACAGUCCUCUUUCCAUGACCACCUGGAGAGCCUACCUGGAGGACACAUUUGAAUGAGUACCAAAAUGAACUGGGCCCUAAAAGGAAAAGUGCAUCUGGCAUCUCAAGACUACUUAAGACUAUGAACAUCUCUCCUUGUCAAUUUCAGCUAGGUAACACUGAAUUUUUAAUAUCAAACCAAUGAUGGAAAAUUUUUUUUAAGUAAGAGAGAUACAUAAUGGCAAAAUAUCUAAAUGAAAAGGACAGAAUUUAGCUAUUUAGUCAGUUACUUCCUGACACCAAACUAAGCACUACACAUCUAAGAAGCUGACGGCAUUUCUUAAAUUUUCAAGAAUGUUCUCACAUCAUAGCAAUUUCACACCUUAUUGAAUUUUAACUGGAGUAACUCUUCUAUGCAAAUAUUCUCAACCCCCUUAAAAGGGACCACAAAUAAUUUUAAAUAGCAUAAUUAAAUCCCAGUUUUUAAAAAUUCUGUAUACUUUGUUGCUAUAGUUAUCAAUGCUCAAUAAAGUGACACUGUUAUGAC